GCGAGCGUGGCGGAAUUGGUAUACGCGCAGGUCUCAGAAGCCUGUGGUGGCAACACCUUGGGAGUUCGAGUCUCCCCGUUCGCA
rnacentral:tRNA from 1 species